AUUGAACGCUGGCGGCAGGCCUAACACAUGCAAGUCGAACGAGUGGCGGACGGGUGAGUACUGUCUGGGAAACUGCCCGAUGGAGGUGGAUAACUAAUGGCGACGGUAGCUAAUAACGCAUAUCAUCGGAUGUGCACAGAUGGGAUUAGCUUGUAGGUGAGGUAACGGCUCACCUGGGCGACGGUCCCUCGCUGGUCUGAGAGGAUGACCAGCCACACUGGAACUGAGGCACGGUCCAGACUCCCACGUGAGGCAGAAGUGGGGAAUAUUGUACAAUGGGCGCAAGCCUGAUGCAGCCAUGCCGCGUGUAUGAAUAAGGCCUUCGGGUUUUAAAGUACUUUCCGCGGGAAGGCGUUACCCGCAGAAUAAGCACCGGCUAACUCCGUGCCAGCAGCCGCGGUAAUUC
rnacentral:rRNA from 1 species